UUGGGUUUUUUUUAAAAAAUAAAAUAAAAUUGACAAACCCUUAGCAAUACAAAGAAAGAGAGAAGGCUCAAAUAAGGAAGAGGGGUGAGCAAGUUCUUGCUCUAUUAGUUCCUGUGAAAGCUGGUUGUUAUAAAGAGCCUGGCACCUCCCCACUUGCUCUCUCCUGCUUCCUCUCCUGCCAUGUGAUCUCUGCACAAGCCAGCUCCCCUUCACCUUCUACAUGAGUGGCAGCAA
rnacentral:lncRNA from 1 species